rnacentral:rRNA from 1 species
CACGUAGGGGGCGAGCGUUGUCCGGAUUUAUUGGGCGUAAAGAGCUCGUAGGCGGUUCGGCAAGUCGGGUGUGAAAUUUCGAGGCUCAACCUCGAAACGCCACUCGAUACUGCUGUGGCUAGAGUCCGGUAGGGGAGCGUGGAAUUCCUGGUGUAGCGGUGAAAUGCGCAGAUAUCAGGAGGAACACCAGCGGCGAAGGCGGCGCUCUGGGCCGGUACUGACGCUGAGGAGCGAAAGCGUGGGGAGCAAACAGG